GGAGAAUAGAAAAUAACAAAAUGGAGUUUGCUCUUUUUUUAAUCUGACCUGCCUAACAAUAUGUUUUUAAAACCAAAGGGUCAUCUCGUCCCCGCUCAUUAAAUCCCUGCCCAAGACUCGGCUUCCCGAACCCCAUCCAAGCUUCACAAUUCUUUCUUCUUCAUCACAAUAUCUUAGCUCAAGCCUCAGGGCAUAUCAUGGCAGCUAUCAAGGUCCAUGGAAGCCCUUUAUCAACAGCUACACAGCGAGUUCUGGUUUCCCUCCAUGAGAAAGAGCUGGAGUUUGUGUUCGUUAACAUCAAUAUGGGAAUAGGCGAGCACAAGAAGGAGCCUUUCAUUUCCCUCAAUCCAUUUGGUCAAGUUCCGGC
rnacentral:misc_RNA from 1 species